UGCCUUAGUAGCGGCGAGUGAAGCGGCAAAAGCUCAAAUUUGAAAUCUGGCUCUUUCAGAGUCCGAGUUGUAAUUUGAAGAAGGUAUCUUUGGGUCUGGCUCUUGUCUAUGUUUCUUGGAACAGAACGUCACAGAGGGUGAGAAUCCCGUGCGAUGAGAUGAUCCAGGCCUAUGUAAAGUUCCUUCGAAGAGUCGAGUUGUUUGGGAAUGCAGCUCUAAGUGGGUGGUAAAUUCCAUCUAAAGCUAAAUAUUGGCGAGAGACCGAUAGCGAACAAGUACAGUGAUGGAAAGAUGAAAAGAACUUUGAAAAGAGAGUGAAAAAGUACGUGAAAUUGUUGAAAGGGAAGGGCUUGAGAUCAGACUUGGUAUUUUGUAUGUUACUUCUUCGGGGGUGGCCUCUACAGUUUAUCGGGCCAGCAUCAGUUUGGGCGGUAGGAGAAUUGCGUUGGAAUGUGGCACGGCUUCGGUUGUGUGUUAUAGCCUUCGUCGAUACUGCCAGCCUAGACUGAAGGACUGCGGUUUAUACCUAGGAUG
rnacentral:rRNA from 1 species